rnacentral:rRNA from 1 species
UGAAUACGAGACGCUACGGCGUCGAAGCAGUCUAUGUCAUACUUCCAAGAAAAGCUUGCACUGUCAUAAACAAAUAAUGCCUGUACCAUAACCGACACAGGUGGGUAGGUAGAGUAUACUAAGGGGCGCGAGAUAACUCUCUCUAAGGAACUCGGCAAAAUGACUCCGUAACUUCGGGAGAAGGAGUGCCUUAUUUAUAAGGUUGCAAUAACAAGAUCCAAGCAACUGUUUAUCAAAAACACAGGUCUCCGCUAAGUCGUAAGACGAUGUAUGGGGGCUGACGCCUGCCCAGUGCCAGAAGGUUAAAGAAGUUGGUUAGCAUUAGCGAAGCUGAUAACUGAAGCCCUGGUGAACGGCGGCCGUAACUAUAACGGUCCUAAGGUAGCGAAAUUCCUUGUCGGGUAAGUUCCGACCCGCACGAAAGGCGUAAUGAUUUGGAUACUGUCUCGGAGAGGGGCUCGGUGAAAUAGACUUGUCUGUGAAGAUGCGGACUACCUGCACCUGGACAGAAAGACCCUAUGAAGCUUUACUGUAACCUGAAAUUGAAAUUGGACUUUAUUUGCGCAGUAUAGGUGGGAGGCGUUGAGAAUAUUCUUGCGGGAAUAUUGGAGCCAUCAGUGAGAUACCACUCUUGUAAUGUUAGAUUUCUAACUUUGAAUCAUUAUCUGGUCAAAGAACAGUUUCAGGCGGGCAGUUUGACUGGGGCGGUCGCCUCCUAAAUGGUAACGGAGGCGCACAAAGGUUUCCUCUGAACGGGUAGAAAUCGUAUCUAGAGUGUAAAGGCAUAAGGAAGCUUGACUGUGAGACCUACAAGUCGAGCAGGGACGAAAGUCGGUCUUAGUGAUCUGACGGUGCUGAGUGGAAAGGCCGUCACUCAACGGAUAAAAGUUACUCUAAGGAUAACAGGCUGAUCUCCCCCAAGAGUUCACAUCGACGGGGAGGUUUGGCACCUCGAUGUCGGCUCAUCGCAUCCUGGGGCGGUAGUACGUCCCAAGGGUUGGGCUGUUCGCCCAUGAAAGCGGUACGCGAGCUGGGUUCAGAACGUCGUGAGACAGUUCGGUCCAUAUCCGGUGUAGGCGUUAGAAUAUUGAGAGGAGCCUUCUUUAGUACGAGAGGACCGAGAAGGACAUACCUCUGGUGUACCAGUUAUCGUGCCAACGGUAAACGCUGGGUAGCUAUGUAUGGAGAGGAUAACCGCUGAAAGCAUCUAAGUGGGAAGCCCACCUCAAGAUAAGUAUUCGC